UCAAAGACUGGGAAUGGGAAGAGUAGGCAGUCAGCCCUUCAGAGAGCGGAAUUAUUAGUAGCUGUGAAAUUCCGCAGGAUGCAUGUCAGCCGAAGUCGCCCUGGAGUCGCCUGUCUGAAUCUGUCAUCCUAUUCAUGAAUGACAGGGUAGGAUAUGGCCGGUCGCAGCCGUUACCCUGCAUGAGUGUCGCGCUAUGCCGCUGGAACCUUAAGGAACCAUGAGCGGAGUUUUAUUCUUUAUUGGCGCGAAACAAAGGUGGUACCGCGAAAGAAUGGCCUUUCGUCCUUUGA
rnacentral:ncRNA from 1 species